AAAAUGUAACGGAGGCGUUUACAAAGGUAGGCUUAGCUCGGAUGGAAAUCGAGCUGGACGCGCAAACGCACAAGCCUGCUUUACUGCAAGAGCUACAACUCGAGCAGUCGCGAAAGCGGAAGUUAGUGAACCGACCAUCCUUCAUAGGAAGGUGGAAGAUCAACGGAUAAAAGCUACUCCGGGGAUAACAGGCUGAUCUGGCCCGAUAGUCCACAUAGACGGCCAGGUUUGGCACCUCGAUGUCGGCUCAUCGCAUCCUGGGGGUGGAGAAGCUCCCAAGGGUUUGGCUGUUCGCCAAUUAAAGCGGUACGCGAGCGACUCAUAUCGGGGAAUUAACACGCGUGAGACAGUUCGGUCUCCUAUCUGUUGCGGGCGUUGAAUAUUGAAAAGGCUCACUCCUAGUACGAGAGGACCGGAGUGGAUAAACCUCUAGUGUGCCAGUUGUUCCAUCAGGGGCAUUGCUGGGUAGCUACGUUUAGCGCGGAUAAACGCUGAAAGCAUCUAAGCGUGAAGCCGUCUUUAAGAUUAAUAUUCGUUCAGACCCCUUGUAGACUACAAGGUUGAUAGGCGUCAGGUGUAAGCAUAGCAAUAUGUUGAGCCGAGACGUACUAAUUGGUCGAGCG
rnacentral:rRNA from 1 species